AUUGAACGCUGGCGGCAUGCCUUACACAUGCAAGUCGAACGGCAGCGCGGGGCAACCUGGCGGCGAGUGGCGAACGGGUGAGUAAUAUAUCGGAACGUACCCUGGAGUGGGGGAUAACGUAGCGAAAGUUACGCUAAUACCGCAUACGAUCUAAGGAUGAAAGUGGGGGAUCGCAAGACCUCAUGCUCCUGGAGCGGCCGAUAUCUGAUUAGCUAGUUGGUGGGGAAAGGCCUACCAAGGCAUCGAUCAGUAGCUGGUCUGAGAGGACGACCAGCCACACUGGAACUGAGACACGGUCCAGACUCCUACGGGAGGCAGCAGUGGGGAAUUUUGGACAAUGGGCGAAAGCCUGAUCCAGCAAUGCCGCGUGAGUGAAGAAGGCCU
rnacentral:rRNA from 1 species